CUACGGGCCGCUCCAGUAAGGAAUAUUGCGCAAUGGAGGCAACUCUGACGCAGCCAUGCCGCGUGCAGGACUGAAGGCCUUAUGGGUCGUAAACUGCUUUUAUUUAGGAAUAAACUCUUGUACGUGUACGAGACUGAAGGUACUAAAUGAAUAAGCACCGGCUAACUCCGUGCCAGCAGCCGCGGUAAUACGGAGGGUGCAAGCGUGUAUCCGGAUUUAUUGGGUUUAAAGGGUGCGCAGGCGGACUAUUAAGUCAGAGGUGAAAUCCCGGAGCUCAACUUCGGAACUGCCUUUGAUACUGGUAGUCUUGAAUACGGUUGAAGUAGGCGGAAUGUAGCAUGUAGCGGUGAAAUGCAUAGAGAUGCUACAGAACACCGAUCGCGAAGGCAGCUUACUAAGCCGAUAUUGACGCUCAGGCACGAAAGCGUGGGGAGCGAACAGGAUUAGAUACCCCCGUAGUC
rnacentral:rRNA from 1 species